rnacentral:rRNA from 1 species
GACAGAGGAUGCAAGCGUUAAUCGGAAUUACUGGGCGUAAAGCGUGCGCAGGCGGUUGUGCAAGACCGAUGUGAAAUCCCCGGGCUCAACCUGGGAAUGGCGAUGAAGACUGCAAGGCUAGAAUCUGGCAGAGGGGGGUAGAAUUCCACGUGUAGCAGUGAAAUGCGUAGAGAUGUGGAGGAAUACCGAUGGCGAAGGCAGCCCCCUGGGCCAAUACUGACGCUUAUGCACGAAAGCGUGGGGAGCAAACAGG